rnacentral:rRNA from 1 species
CCGUGUACGUACAAGCAGUGGGAGCACCCUUUGGGGUGUGACUGCGUACCUUUUGUAUAAUGGGUCAGCGACUUAUAUUCUGUAGCAAGGUUAACCGAAUAGGGGAGCCGGAGGGAAACCGAGUCUUAAUUGGGCGUUAAGUUGCAGGGUAUAGACCCGAAACCCGGUGAUCUAGCCAUGGGCAGGUUGAAGGUUGGGUAACACUAACUGGAGGACCGAACCGACUAAUGUUGAAAAAUUAGCGGAUGACCUGUGGCUGGGGGUGAAAGGCCAAUCAAACCGGGAGAUAGCUGGUUCUCCCCGAAAGCUAUUUAGGUAGCGCCUCGUGAAUUCAUCUCCGGGGGUAGAGCACUGUUUCGGCUAGGGGGCCAUCCCGGCUUACCAACCCGAUGCAAACUGCGAAUACCGGAGAAUGUUAUCACGGGAGACACACGGCGGGUGCUAACGUCCGUCGUGAAGAGGGAAACAACCCAGACCGCCAGCUAAGGUCCCAAAGUCAUGGUUAAGUGGGAAACGAUGUGGGAAGGCCCAGACAGCCAGGAUGUUGGCUUAGAAGCAGCCAUCAUUUAAAGAAAGCGUAAUAGCUCACUGGUCGAGUCGGCCUGCGCGGAAGAUGUAACGGGGCUAAACCAUGCACCGAAGCUGCGGCAGCGACACUGUGUGUUGUUGGGUAGGGGAGCGUUCUGUAAGCCUGUGAAGGUGUGUCGUGAGGCAUGCUGGAGGUAUCAGAAGUGCGAAUGCUGACAUAAGUAACGAUAAAGCGGGUGAAAAGCCCGCUCGCCGGAAGACCAAGGGUUCCUGUCCAACGUUAAUCGGGGCAGGGUGAGUCGACCCCUAAGGCGAGGCCGAAAGGCGUAGUCGAUGGGAAACGGGUUAAUAUUCCCGUACUUGGUGUUACUGCGAAGGGGGGACGGAGAAGGCUAUGUUGGCCGGGCGACGGUUGUCCCGGUUUAAGCGUGUAGGUGUGUGUUCCAGGUAAAUCCGGUUCACUUUAACACUGAGGCGUGACGACGAGGCACUACGGUGCUGAAGCAACAAAUGCCCUGCUUCCAGGAAAAGCCUCUAAGCAUCAGGUAACAUCAAAUCGUACCCCAAACCGACACAGGUGGUCAGGUAGAGAAUACCAAGGCGCUUGAGAGAACUCGGGUGAAGGAACUAGGCAAAAUGGUGCCGUAACUUCGGGAGAAGGCACGCUGACACGUAGGUGAAGUGAUUUACUCAUGGAGCUGAAGUCAGUCGAAGAUACCAGCUGGCUGCAACUGUUUAUUAAAAACACAGCACUGUGCAAACACGAAAGUGGACGUAUACGGUGUGACGCCUGCCCGGUGCCGGAAGGUUAAUUGAUGGGGUCAGCGCAAGCGAAGCUCCUGAUCGAAGCCCCGGUAAACGGCGGCCGUAACUAUAACGGUCCUAAGGUAGCGAAAUUCCUUGUCGGGUAAGUUCCGACCUGCACGAAUGGCGUAAUGAUGGCCAGGCUGUCUCCACCCGAGACUCAGUGAAAUUGAACUCGCUGUGAAGAUGCAGUGUACCCGCGGCAAGACGGAAAGACCCCGUGAACCUUUACUAUAGCUUGACACUGAACAUUGAGCCUUGAUGUGUAGGAUAGGUGGGAGGCUUUGAAGUGUGGACGCCAGUCUGCAUGGAGCCGACCUUGAAAUACCACCCUUUAAUGUUUGAUGUUCUAACGUGGACCCGUGAUCCGGGUUGCGGACAGUGUCUGGUGGGUAGUUUGACUGGGGCGGUCUCCUCCUAAAGAGUAACGGAGGAGCACGAAGGUUGGCUAAUCCUGGUCGGACAUCAGGAGGUUAGUGCAAUGGCAUAAGCCAGCUUGACUGCGAGCGUGACGGCGCGAGCAGGUGCGAAAGCAGGUCAUAGUGAUCCGGUGGUUCUGAAUGGAAGGGCCAUCGCUCAACGGAUAAAAGGUACUCCGGGGAUAACAGGCUGAUACCGCCCAAGAGUUCAUAUCGACGGCGGUGUUUGGCACCUCGAUGUCGGCUCAUCACAUCCUGGGGCUGAAGUAGGUCCCAAGGGUAUGGCUGUUCGCCAUUUAAAGUGGUACGCGAGCUGGGUUUAGAACGUCGUGAGACAGUUCGGUCCCUAUCUGCCGUGGGCGCUGGAGAACUGAGGGGGGCUGCUCCUAGUACGAGAGGACCGGAGUGGACGCAUCACUGGUGUUCGGGUUGUCAUGCCAAUGGCACUGCCCGGUAGCUAAAUGCGGAAGAGAUAAGUGCUGAAAGCAUCUAAGCACGAAACUUGCCCCGAG